rnacentral:rRNA from 1 species
GACGAACGCUGGCGGCGUGCUUAACACAUGCAAGUCGAACGCGCCUGUCCUCUGGGUUUCUGGGGGGUGGGUGAGUGGCGAACGGGUGAGUAACACGUGAGUAACCUGCCCCCUUCUUCGGGAUAACGGUCUGAAAGGGCUGCUAAUACCGGGUAUUCACUGGUCUCCGCAUGGGGUCUGGUGGAAAGGUUUUUUUCUGGUGGGGAUGGGCUCGCGGCCUAUCAGCUUGUUGGUGGGGUGAUGGGCCACCAAGGCUUUGACGGGUAGCCGGCCUGAGAGGGUGACCGGUCACAUUGGGACUGAGAUACGGCCCAGACUCCUACGGGAGGCAGCAGUGGGGAAUAUUGCACAAUGGGCGCAAGCCUGAUGCAGCGACGCCGCGUGAGGGAUGGAGGCCUUCGGGUUGUGAACCUCUUUCGCCCGUGGUCAAGCCGCGACGUGGGUCGUGGUGAGGGUAGUGGGUAAAGAAGCGCCGGCUAACUACGUG